GUUAUUUUUGUCAAGUUUGAUUGAACAAGCUAUUUUUAAUGCUUGAACUCUAGAACUAGUUAUUUACAAGUUAUUAUCUACAGACUCCAGAUAGUCGGCCUUCAUUUGUGGAACUACGACAAAAGCUGUGUGGUUUGACUGGAACGGGGACUUACCUGAUCACAUGACCUGUCUAGAUCCUGAUAGACGGCCUUCGUUCCGAGACCUUGGACGUACUUUGAAUGGAUUAAUGGAGGUCGGGAAUUACCCACAAGUGUGACAGCAUUAAAUUGCAAAACCUAGCAAUAAUCCAAUCAGGAGUGGUGUUGUUAGUCACAUGACUUCAAUUGACCAAUAGCAGUAAAACCUCCUUCAGCUAGUAAUGUGUCAUAAUAAUAGGAGAGUGUUUUAUGAAACUGUGAUUAUGGUUUUUUUGCUAAAUGUGCUAAAUAUUCAUCUUACAUUAAUUUUGGAUGGGAAAUGUUCGGAGAGUAAUUGUCGAAAGUGCUAUCUAUUCUAAUUGUUACUUCGCAAUGUUAUACUAUAUAUUUAGUAUCGUAACUGAGUGAAAUAUUUUAUAAUAUCUCACUGACAAAGAAUGACAAUGUAUUGUUUUAUGUAUAAUAUUUAUGCCACAUACAUAUUUCUGGUACAACAAGACAUUGUUAACAUUAGUGAUAGUAUAAACUACAUGUAUUUGAAUGCUGCACCAGCACAAGUUGAUUAUGUCUUCCUUUUUAUUUGUAUUUAGAUAUGAUAGACUACCAAGCUGAGAUGACAUACUAUUUAAUAUAUAAUAAAUGUAAUAAUAUCAUCUUUCAGAUUUACUGGAUAUUUGAAUUUAUUUCUGUUAGAUCAUGUAGAUAGGAAUAAGUUGUUUAAUAAUGUAAUAAAUGUUUUGAAUGAGGAAAUCUAUUCAAGAUGUAAGGCAUAUCAGAAUUGAAUUUUCCCUAUAUUUAAUAUUCAAAUGAAACCAAAUCUUUUUUGUUUUAUUUCCAAACAAAAUUACAGACUGACAACUUUUAAUGCACCUGGAGAAAUAUUCUUCUUGUAAACUGGUCUUCAGAAAACAGGUUAUUCAUAAUAACUGGUUUUCUUGAUUUGGUUCCUACAUGGUUUUGGCAAUCUUUGAUUUAUUGUGUUAUAGGUAUUUGUGAGAAAGUCAAAGUAUGUUCAGCUUUCCUGUUUAAAUUAUAUUACAAUAAAUAUACAUGUAUAGAAAGUGAUUUACAUUAAAAUUAUUGUUAAGAAAGAUCUUUUUUAGCAGCUCCACUUCAUUCAGUUUAAGAUGUAUUUCUCGUUAUAUCGUAGAAAUAAAUAAAUCAUUCCCUAUGAAACGAAUCAGCAUUUUUUUCAACUUUUCUGUAUUUUUUAACAAUAUUUGUUAUUUAUGUUCAUUUUUUUAUUGUUCAUUUUCUAUGUCUGAUGAUUUUCAUGUUUGCAUGUCCAUGCCAGUGAUGUUUGCAUUUUAUACAUACAAUUAUAGGAUUUUAGCCAAUUACUCCAUUAUUACAUAUAACAAUAGAACUAUGAGAGAAGGGGAAAUUUUAGGCAAAUUAGUAGUUUAGGCCAAAAGUGUUAAAGAGAGAAGGGGAAAUUUUAGGCAAAUUAGUAGUUUAGGCCAAAAGUGUUAAAGAUAACUUUAAGUUAAUUCAGCUAAACAAAAUGUAACUUUCUCUUUAUCACAUACCUAAAGUAAGCCGAGUUUACUUUCAAAAAAGAAUUUUUUUUUCUACAAGGUGCUUAUACUGUAACACUUAUAUUAAGCAUAAAAAUUAUGUUCAAACCAUAUUCAUAUAAGGCAUAUUAUGAUGUCACAUCAAAAUAUAUGCAUGGCCUUGCCAUAUACUUUUUGUAACAGUCUUCAAAAAUAGGGGCAUGGGUAUGUGUUUAAUUACCUGUCAUAACAUUGUCUUUCAAAGAAUUAUCAUGUUGAAAAUUGUUCUAACAAUUUUAUUUUGUAUCAUGUAAAUUAAAUGCCAGUUUAGAGCUAGACGUUUUAACAAUCAAUUUUACCAAUCUUUAGGUAAGACUCCAAGAUUUAAGAUAUGCUUAGAUAUGCAAGUUUUGAAACAAUGCAGCAAAUAAUAAAUUGAAUGAAAAAGGUCACAUAUAGUAUAUAAAGUAAUUCUAACAAAUAUUCUGUUUUUGUUUUGUUGAAAUAUACACAAGUGGCAGCAUGGCCCUAGUGGUUAACACAUUGGUUUAGUAAUCUAAGGAUUGCUGGCUGCUUGGGGCUUGCCUCGCCAGGGCCAAGCCAUUGUUUCUAUGAGCAAGAAACUUUACACUCAUAAUAAUGUAUUAGAUGUGUGGAGCAACUGGUAGUUAAUGACCAACAACUUACAGCAUACAUAAGGAAGAUUUGAAUCUUAAAAUGGUACUGUCAAUAUUUUUUUCUCAGCCAUAUGGACAGUCUUAGUCUAUUAAGCAAAAACAUUUGUUCAGUUUUGCAAGGUAUUAUUUUGUAUUUUAGGUAUUUUUUUACAUUUUUGAUACUUAAACCCCUUAACUUUCAGUAGACUGUCCCAAAAUAAAAGAAGUUGAAGUCAGACACACAAAUGCAAGAUGGGAAAUAGUGAAGCUUAGUGUGGGAAAUGGAUAAAUCAUUGUGGAAAAUUUAAUAUAGGAAGUUGUUAAUUUCAAUAAACAAAGUCAGCUCAGGAAAUAGUGUGGAAAUGGUUUAAUUCAGUGUUGGAAAUGGCUAAAUUCAGUGUGGGAAAUGGUUCAAAUCAUUGUGGUAAAUGGGUUAAAUUCAAUGGUUAAAAUCAGUUCUGAAAAUAGUUAAAUUCACCUCAGGAAAUGGUCAAAAUAAAGAGUAGGAAAUGGUUAAUUCACUGUGGGAAAUUUUAAAUUUUUAAAUUCAGAGUGAGAAAUUUAGAUUCAAAGUUACGAGGACAUGGUUAAAUUUGAUCGGGGAAAUGGUUGGGAUGUAAAUGUCAUAUGUCAAUGAUAUUUAUAUAAAGAUAAGCAUUAAUAUACUAAAGAUGAAUUUGAACAUUUUUUAUCCACAAAACUAAUGCUUUUGAUUCCAUUUGUACUUACUGAAUGUUUUACAGAUUAUUAAUAUUCCAAAACAAAAUAUUAAGCAUGAAACAGUUUGUGUGUAAUCCCCUUAUUUUGUAUAAAUUUUGUUUUAAAAAAUAUCUGAUUAAAAAAUAAUGAAAAAAACUUACAAGUUGUUCUUAAGUUAAUAAAAAAAGAAAAGAACUUUGUAUUUUUAUUGUUUUGUUACUUUUUUUGAUAUAAAUAUUUAGAUUUAUUUUGUUAAUGUUAAAUUAUAUAUCUGUUUUAGAAACUUUUUUUAUAUAAUUAUAUAUAUAUAUGUAUACAUGCAGUGUACAUGUAUGUUAUAUUUCUAUGAUUCUUCAUUUGAGCCGCGUCAUGACAAAACCAACAUAAUGGGUUUGCGACCAGCAUGGAUCCAGACCAGCCUGCGCAUCCGCGCAGUCUGAUCAGGAUCCAUGCUGUUCGCUAUCAGUUUCUCUACUUGUAAUAGGGUUUGUAAGCGAACAGCAUGGAUCCUGAUCAGACUGCGCGGAUGCGCAGACUGGUCUGGAUCCAUGCUGGUCACAAACCCAUUAUGUCAGUUUUGUCAUGACACAGCUCAUUUAUUUGUUUAAAAAUAGAAUGCAUUAAUGAAUUAUGACCAUUAUGUUUAUAUUUGUUUUCAUAUGUAUCAAGUAUGCACAGUGUGUACAUAUAUUCAAAUAAUUGUUGUUUUUCUAAACGAAGUAUGAUAUUUUCAACAUAGUCUGGAUAAUAUAAAGCUGCAAGCCUCCAGAUUCACAUAUAUUAUUUCCCGAUCUUAAAUCAUUUUACUUUUCUUAAAAAUCUUAGAACAUUUUUCAUUAAGUUAAAUUUUCUUGAAAUAUUUUUGGCUCAUCUGGAGGCAUGCAGCUUUAAAUGAAGUAAGAUAAUAAUAAUAAGAAAUUUGUAUAUUAACAAGCCAUGUUUGAACACAAAUAAUAUACAGAAUAAGCAAACCCAAUCUAAUGGGCUUAUAAGUCACUGUAAUGGGCUUAUAAGUCACUGUAAAGUAUAUUGCAAACAAUAAUCAUGUCACAUUUUGUUAAGAAAAGGAAAAUUUAGAAGAUCUUUUUGGAUACUUUCUAUCAGAGU